UACGUAGGUGGCAAGCGUGUCCGGAUUUAUUGGGUUUAAAGGGUGCGUAGGCGGUCUUAUAAGUCAGUGGUGAAAUACGGCAGCUCAACUGUCGAGGUGCCAUUGAUACUGUAGGACUUGAGUACAGACGAGGUAGGCGGAAUUGACGGUGUAGCGGUGAAAUGCUUAGAUAUCGUCAAGAACACCGAUAGCGAAAGGCAGCUUACUAGGCUGUAACUGACGCUGAGGCACGAAAGUGUGGGGAUCAAACAGGG
rnacentral:rRNA from 1 species